GAGGGAGAAGAGGAUGUGGUGAUGGAUGACCUGAUGGUGGAAUGGUUCAACCUCAUCAGAAACAAGCUAGGUGUCCAUGAGGAGAGAGUCUGAACUGGUCUACAUAGCGAAGACACAGGACUUGGAGGAACAGCAGCCCAGUGUAGAGCAGGAGCUGAGGAGACUCAUGGACAAACCUGAGCGGCUGAAGACGUUGUGGGACCGUCGUAGAGAAGAGGAGUUGAUGGUCAAGCUGGUGGAGAUCACAAUGACAGAAACGCCAUCAUAGACGGACUGGACGAUGACAGACUCAGGGAGGAUGAGGAAGAUGAACAGCUCAAUAAGAUGAUGAAGACCCUAGACACAAAGAAAGAAAAGAAGAAGAAGAAGUCAAGCUUUAAGUUGUUUGGUAGAAACAAGAAGGAGGGAUGAUCUCACAGGGAGGAACUCUGGGAUACACUGUUACCCUGCUUGAGAUGUGGUUAUCACUGUUACCCUGCUUGAGAUGUGGUUAUCACUGUUACCCUGCUUGAGAUGUGGUUAUCACUGUUACCCUGCUUGAGAUGUGGUUAUCACUGUUACCCUGCUUGAGAUGUGGUUAUCACUGUUACCCUGCUUCAGAUGUGGUUAUCACUGUUACCCUGCUUGAGAUGUGGUUAUCACUGUUACCCUGCUUGA